GGAAUAGAAUAGCUAGCGGUGACAUCUGUCACCCCAUUGAUCGGCAGGGUUGGUUGGGCUGGUCUGGCUGGCUCAGCAGGUGUUCCCUGCCUCCCUCUCUGCUCCACGUGCAUCCCUCCUGAAGUUAUGCCCUCGGUUGAAGAGGACAACCUUCCCCAAUAUAAGGAGGACUGUCCUUGGGUCAAGGGUAACAAGCAGCUAGGCUUCCCUGUUAGAAUCUCCAAACGAGCUCUCAAAGUCCAUAAAUAAAAUAAAUAACCACACUGAUACAAAUAAAUAACAAACACAUAAAUAACGAGGGAGAAAAAGACAGCUCUUU
ensembl:misc_RNA 7SK 7SK RNA